CCAGGGGCUUCGUGUGUGUGUACCUCAUUUCUCUCUCCACCUCCUGUACUCCCAGGUUGGUCAGACUUCAAAAACUCAGGAGCAGAGCUCCUCUGAGACCAUCCUACACAAGUAUGAACGAGACUUCAUCGUGGGAGAGCAGGGCUCCAAAGAUGGGGUCCUCCAGAGGGCUUUCCACAACACUUCCAGGCCACUCUCAGAUACUCGGGGCAACUUUCAAUGAAACACGCACACACGAGUUUAGCAGAACUCCAAGAUGGAUAGACUUUUGCCAAGCAGGAGAAAGAUGUUUUCCCCCUCCGCCAGUAUUUGGUUGCUAUGGUGACCUGCUCCUCAAGGCCCCAAAAUAAGGGGUGAGGAAUGCGGUGCUGUGGACGUUAACGAUUGGCGGGGUGAGGAAUACGGUGCUGUGGAAGUUAACGAUCGACAGCUCAUGAAAGAAACCCUCUAUAUUUGGAGACUCUGAGCGGGACCACGCUUCACAGUUGGCAGUGAUAUUGUUUUUCUUGACAGUGUUUCAGCUUUGAUGGAUGAUAAUGAUGUAUGUGUGCCAACAUUGAUUUGUAAUUAUGAACGUUGUAUGUGUGGGGUUAUGCUCUGUUGUGCCAGUGCACAAGUAUAGCUGAAGAACACAUUUAAUACACCUCUAGGUGGCACUCAUAUGUCAAUCAAUCUAUGAAAGGCCCAACAUCAUGUAAAAACUGUCAUGAAACAUUUGUUACAAUUCUCAAUGAACAGUACCAUUGGGACUCAAUGUCUUUAUCGGAGGCCCAUCAAUAGACUGACUCUGAAGGAGAGAGAGAAAGGGUAAACUUGCCAAGGCACAAGGUAGGGGGAUGUUGCCAUUCCUUUCAUUUCCAAAACAAACAUGAGAUGAGAUGAACAUUGUGAACCAGAUGGGUUUAAUGUAUCUGGUAUUCGAACAAGAUCAGGCCAGGAUGUACUCUGGCUCUGUUCAGCUCUACAAACCUCUGUCAUGUUUUCACUAUCAGGACUCUCAUAACAAAGCCUCCAUUAACACUUUAUAAAGCCUAUAUAGAUUGUGCUGAAAUCAUUCACAAGUACAUGUCAUGGGUGGUAAAAAGAGUCAGGCCACAUUUGUCAAAGAACUACAUAUUGUUAUGUCUCUCUGCAGAUUAAAGGCUACUGAUUAUGUCAGCCUUGCUUGCCAGGUUUGAGACCAACAGCAAUCUACAUACUGUAUGUGCAUUCGGGAAGUAUUCAGACCCCUUGACUUUUUCCUCGUUUUCUUACGUUAAGGCCUUGUUCUAAAAUGGAUUUUUUU